UACGGAGGGGGCUAGCGUUGUUCGGAAUUACUGGGCGUAAAGCGUACGUAGGCGGCUUUUUAAGUCAGAGGUGAAAUCCCGGUGCUCAACACCGGAACUGCCUUUGAGACUGGAUCGCUUGAUCACGGGAGAGGUUAGUGGAAUUCCGAGUGUAGAGGUGAAAUUCGUAGAUAUUCGGAAGAACACCAGUGGCGAAGGCGGCUAACUGGACCGUUGAUGACGCUGAGGUACGAAAGCGUGGGGAGCAAACAGG
rnacentral:rRNA from 1 species